rnacentral:sRNA from 1 species
UAGGAUGGGUGACCUCCCGGGA